rnacentral:lncRNA from 10 species
GUCAGAGUACCUGGCUGGUCACCUCUAGUUGCAAGCAGCUUCAUCUGACUCUAGUUUCUCCGGUUUACCCAGUAUACUCUCUGGUACAAAUACAAUACUCUGUGGGUACCUACCUGUGAAAGGUUUGGAAGUACAGAUCUAUGAGAAUGUAUUAAGGAACACUGUUUCUCGUGGCAGAUAUGUGUCGUUUAGGUCCUUGUUAGAUUGUUGAUAAUUCUUCAUUCUUGGAUUUUUUAGCAUGGCUUCUCGCUGUUUCUGGGAUGCUGACACUGACAACUAUACUCAUGAUGUUUUCAUGAAUGACAGUUUAUUCUGCGUUGUAGCAGCAUUUGGCUGUUUCUACUACUGAAUGAAUCUUUGAAAAGCUGGUAAAAGACAUGACCAUGAAGAAAUCUGAACUUUUUAAUAUUGUUAAAUAUCUUGACAAAAUAAAGAUGUUAGUAGUUUGACAACUGAA